GAUUAAUGUUGGCAGUGUGCCUAAUACAUGCAAGUCGAGCGAUAUAGCGGCAGACGAGAGAGUAAUAGGAAGGAACAUGCCCCGAACUCAAGGAUAGCCACCCGAAAGGGUGGGUAAUCCUGGAUAGUCCCGCAAGGGUAAAGGCUUUAUGCGGUUCGGGAGUGGCCUUCCUCCUAUCAGCUUGUUGGUAAGGUAAUGGCUUACCAAGGCUCUGAUCGGUAGCUGGUCUGAGAGGAUGAUCAGCCACAAUGGGACUGAGACACGGCCCAUACUCCUACGGGAGGCAGCAGUGGGGAAUUUUACGCAAUGGGGGAAACCCUGACGUAGCGACACCGCGUGAACGAAGAAGCCUUUUGGGGUGUAAAGUUCUGUCAGCAGGAACGAAAUAAAUGACGGUACCUGCAGAGGAAGCAUCGGCUAACUACGUG
rnacentral:rRNA from 1 species